rnacentral:rRNA from 1 species
AUACGUAGGUGACAAGCGUUAUCCGGAUUUACUGGGCGUAAAGGGCGUGUAGGCGGUCUUGCAAGUCAGAAGUGAAAUUCCUGAGCUCAACUCGGGCGCUGCUUCUGAAACUGCAGGACUUGAGUGCUGGAGGGGAUAGCGGAAUUCCUAGUGGAGCGGUAAAAUGCGCAGAUAUUAGGGAGAACACCGGUGGCGAAGGCGGCUAUCUGGACAGUAACUGACGCUGUGUAGCGAAAGCGUGGGGAGAAAGCAGGAUUAGAUACCCUGGUAGUCCACGCCGUAAACGAUGAAUGCUAGGUGUUGCGGGUAUCGACCCCUGCAGUGCCGGAGUAAACACAAUAAGCAUUCCGCCUGGGGAGUACGGCCGCAAGGUUGAAACUCAAAUGAAUUGACGUG